rnacentral:rRNA from 1 species
CCUUGACAUACUAAGAACUUUCCAGAGAUGGAUUGGUGCCUUCGGGAACUUAGAUACAGGUGCUGCAUGGCUGUCGUCAGCUCGUGUCGUGAGAUGUUGGGUUAAGUCCCGCAACGAGCGCAACCAUUUUCCUAUUUGCCAGCGGGUCAUGCCGGGAACUUUAAGGAUACUGCCAGUGACAAACUGGAGGAAGGCGGGGACGACGUCAAGUCAUCAUGGCCCUUACGGCCAGGGCUACACACGUGCUACAAUGGUCGGUACAAAGGGUUGCUACCUCGCGAGAGGAUGCUAAUCUCAAAAAGCCGAUCGUAGUCCGGAUCGCAGUCUGCAACUCGACUGCGUGAAGUCGGAAUCGCUAGUAAUCGCGGAUCAGAAUGCCGCGGUGAAUACGUUCCCGGGCCUUGUACACACCGCCCGUCACACCAUGGGAGUUUGUUGCACCAGAAGUAGGUAGUCUAACCGCAAGGAGGACGCUUACCACGGUGUGGCCGAUGACUGGGGUGAAGUCGUAACAAGGUAGGCGUAGAUGA